UGACCACCCAUCCAUCGGAUGGGUUUAGGCCAUACGGACAGCCGGGUCAACUGCCGA
rnacentral:sRNA from 1 species